rnacentral:rRNA from 1 species
UACGAGAGGCGCAAACGUUAUUCGGAAUUACUGGGCUUAAAGAGUUCGUAGGCGGCGCAGCAAGUAGGGUGUGAAAGCCCUCGGCUCAACCGAGGAAUUGCGCUCUAAACUACUGUGCUUGAGGAAGCUAGAGGUGAGCAGAACAGAUGGUGGAGCGGUGAAAUGCGUUGAUAUCAUCUGGAAUACCGGAGGCGAAGGCGGCUCACUGGGGCUUUUCUGACGCUGAGGAACGAAAGCCAGGGUAGCGAACGGG